rnacentral:misc_RNA from 1 species
GCACAACAUAAAAGAAAAUGAGGUGGCAUUUUGUGACAUCCAUGUACUUGCCUAAGUUGUGAAGCAGGCCCAUUACAUUAUCAAACAUGAAAACUGCAUAUAAAUAUUUGUAUGGAAGUGCUGAAAUGCUAAAUUGAUGAAAGUGGUGCAAGUGCAAGUAGUUUUUUCAUUGCUGUAUUUACUCUAACUCAAAAGGGAAACAUAUAGAAAUAUCAGUUAUAAUUCUAAUCAAAUUCAAAUAAAUUUCAGAACAAGGAUAAUUGCCAAACACCCCAGUAUCCCACACUGUGAAAAUUGCUUCUAACAGGAAAAUAAUAGCCUUAUCUUCAAAUUCUCAUUAUGGGAGGCAAAGUUGGCCUAAUAAUCAAGCAAAACAUGUACAUAUCUGCACAUCCAAAAAAUGCUAGCAUAAAUAAAUGGGAGUGUGUCAUGCAUGCAUAUGCGAAAUUAAA